rnacentral:rRNA from 1 species
GACGAACGCUGGCGGCGUGCUUAACACAUGCAAGUCGAACGGAAAGGCCCUGCUUUUGUGGGGUGCUCGAGUGGCGAACGGGUGAGUAACACGUGAGUAACCUGCCCUUGACUCUGGGAUAACUUCAGGAAACUGGGGCUAAUACCGGAUAGGAGCUCCUGCUGCAUGGUGGGGGUUGGAAAGUUUCGGCGGUUGGGGAUGGACUCGCGGCUUAUCAGCUUGUUGGUGGGGUAGUGGCUUACCAAGGCUUUGACGGGUAGCCGGCCUGAGAGGGUGACCGGCCACAUUGGAACUGAGAUACGGCCCAGACUCCUACGGGAGGCAGCAGUGGGGAAUAUUGCACAAUGGGCGGAAGCCUGAUGCAGCAACGCCGCGUGCGGGAUGACGGCCUUCGGGUUGUAAACCGCUUUCGCCUGUGACGAAGCGUGAGUGACGGUAAUGGGUAAAGAAGCACCGGCUAACUACGUG